rnacentral:rRNA from 1 species
GUGAGGAAUAUUGGUCAAUGGGCGGGAGCCUGAACCAGCCAAGUCGCGUGAAGGAAGAAGGAUCUAUGGUUCGUAAACUUCUUUUGCAGGGGAAUAAAGUGCAGGACGUGUCCUGUUUUGUAUGUACCCUGAGAAUAAGGAUCGGCUAACUCCGUGCCAGCAGCCGCGGUAAUACGGAGGAUCCGAGCGUUAUCCGGAUCUAUUGGGUUUAAAGGGUGCGUAGGUGGUUUGAUAAGUCAGCGGUGAAAGUUUGCAGCUUAACUGUAAAAAUGCCGUUGAAACUGUCGGACUUGAGUGUAAAUGAGGUAGGCGGAAUGCGUGGUGUAGCGGUGAAAUGCAUAGAUAUCACGCAGAACUCCGAUUGCGAAGGCAGCUUACUAAGCUACAACUGACACUGAAGCACGAAAGCGUGGGGAUCAAACAGGAUUAGAUACCCCAGUAGUCC